rnacentral:rRNA from 1 species
CAGCAGCCGCGUAAUACGUAGGGUGCAAGCGUUAAUCGGAAUUACUGGGCGUAAAGCGUGCGCAGGCGGUUAUAUAAGACAGAUGUGAAAUCCCCGGGCUCAACCUGGGAACUGCAUUUGUGACUGUAUAGCUAGAGUACGGCAGAGGGGGAUGGAAUUCCGCGUGUAGCAGUGAAAUGCGUAGAUAUGCGGAGGAACACCGAUGGCGAAGGCAAUCCCCUGGGCCUGUACUGACGCUCAUGCACGAAAGCGUGGGGAGCAAACAGGAUUAGAUACCCGGGUAGUCCCUGUCUCUUAUACA